UACAGAGGGUGCAAACGUUGCUCGGAAUCAUUGGGCGUAAAGCGCACGUAGGCGGCCCAGCAAGUGGGGAGUGAAAGCCCUCGGCUUAACCGAGGAAGUGCUUUCCAAACUACUGGGCUUGAAUACUGGAGAGGGUCGCGGAAUUCCCGGUGUAGAGGUGAAAUUCGUAGAUAUCGUUUGGAACGCCAAUGGUGAAAACAGGUAGCUGGGAGUGUGCCGACGCUGAGACACGAAAGCCAGGGGAGCGAACGGG
rnacentral:rRNA from 1 species